GGAUGUGAGGGAGAUCUGGCUGUGACAUCUGUCACCCAAUUGAUCAACAGGGUUGAUUCAGCUGAUCUGGUUGGCGAGGCAGGUGUCCCUUUCCUCCCUCACCACUCCCUUACCACUCCGUGGGUCCCUCCUGAAGCUGCCCACUCCCUCAAAGAGGAUGACAUUUCCCAAUAAAGGAGGACCGUUCUUCGGUCAAGGUUAUACGAGUAGCAGCACUCUCCUGCUGGAAGCUCCAGACAAGCUCUCCAGGUCCAUCUGUAGGUGAACACAGGGUAGUCAGGCUUCCAAGACUCCAGACACAUCCAAAUGAGGUGCUGCAUGUGGCAGUCUGCCUUUCUUU
rnacentral:snRNA from 1 species